CCUACGGGAGGCUGCAGUGAGGAAUAUUGGUCAAUGGGCGCAAGCCUGAACCAGCCAUGCCGCGUGCAGGAAGACGGUCCUAUGGAUUGUAAACUGCUUUUAUUUGGGAAUAAACCUCUUUACGUGUAGAGAGCUGAAGGUACCAAAUGAAUAAGCACCGGCUAACUCCGUGCCAGCAGCCGCGGUAAUGCGGAGGGUGCAAGCGUUAUCCGGAAUCAUUGGGUUUAAAGGGUCCGCAGGCGGUCUUAUAAGUCAGUGGUGAAAGCCUACAGCUCAACUGUAGAACUGCCAUUGAUACUGUAGGACUUGAAUUCGAUCGAAGUGGGCGGAAUAUGACAUGUAGCGGUGAAAUGCUUAGAUAUGUCAUAGAACACCGAUAGCGAAGGCAGCUCACUAGGUCUGGAUUGACGCUCAGGGACGAAAGCGUGGGGAGCAAACAGGAUUAGAUACCCGGGUAGUC
rnacentral:rRNA from 1 species